AUUCAGUUGACGAGUCUUAAAUAGGACGAAACCCACAUCUUGGAU
rnacentral:hammerhead_ribozyme from 1 species